rnacentral:hammerhead_ribozyme from 1 species
AUUAUGACGAGUCGCAAAUAGGACGAAACGCGCGUCCUGGAU